UGGUUCUGGCAUCGAUGAAGAACGCAGCGAAAUGCGAUAAGUAAUGCGAAUUGCAGAAUCCGUGAGUCAUCGAAUCUUUGAACGCAUAUUGCGCCCUUUGGUAUUCCGAAGGGCAUGCCUGUUCGAGCGUCAUUAUCACCCCUCAAACCUCGGUUUGGUGUUGGGCUUCUAGGUGGUUUAUUACCUAAAUUACCGGCCUCAAAGAUAGUGACGGCGCCCUGGAGGGAACCGAUACGCUGAGCUUUUAAUCAAGCAUGUAUUGGCACGAAUCUAGCUGGCGACGGUCUUAAACAAAACAUUUACAAGUGUUGACCUCGGAUCAGGUAGGAAUACCCGCUGA
rnacentral:misc_RNA from 1 species